rnacentral:piRNA from 1 species
UGUGAUCAGGUUCUCCUGCCGUGUUCCUG